rnacentral:rRNA from 1 species
GACGUAGGGGGCCAGCGUUGUUCGGAAUUACUGGGUGUAAAGGGUUCGUAGGCGGUGUAGCAAGUCGGGAGUGAAAUCUCUGGGCUUAACCCAGAGGCUGCUUCCGAAACUGCUGUGCUUGAGUGUGGGAGAGGCGCGUGGAAUUGCAGGUGUAGCGGUGAAAUGCGUAGAUAUCAAGAGGAACACCUGAGGUGAAGACGGGUUGCUGGGCUGACACUGACGCUGAGGCGCGAAAGCCAGGGGAGCAAACGGG